AGCUAGUUGGUGGGGUAAAAGCUCACCAAGGCGACGAUCUGUAGCGGGUCUGAGAGGAUGAUCCGCCACACUGGAACUGAGACACGGUCCAGACUCCUACGGGAGGCAGCAGUGGGGAAUUUUGGACAAUGGGGGCAACCCUGAUCCAGCCAUGCCGCGUGAGUGAAGAAGGCCUUCGGGUUGUAAAGCUCUUUCGGCCGGGAAGAAAUCGUAUCAGCUAAUACCUGGUGCGGAUGACGGUACCGGCAUAAGAAGCACCGGCUAACUACGUGCCAGCAGCCGCGGUAAUACGUAGGGUGCGAGCGUUAAUCGGAAUUACUGGGCGUAAAGCGUGCGCAGGCGGUUUUGUAAGACAGGCGUGAAAUCCCCGGGCUCAACCUGGGAACUGCGUUUGUGACUGCAAGGCUAGAGUACGGCAGAGGGGGGUGGAAUUCCACGUGUAGCAGUGAAAUGCGUAGAGAUGUGGAGGAACACCAAUGGCGAAGGCAGCCCCCUGGGUCGAUACUGACGCUCAUGCACGAAAGCGUGGGUAGCAAACAGGAUUAGAUACCCUGGUAGUCCACGCCCUAAACGAUGUCAACUAGGUGUUGGGAGGGUAAAACCUUUUAGUACCGGAGCUAACGCGUGAAGUUGACCGCCUGGGGAGUACGGCCGCAAGGUUAAAACUCAAAGGAAUUGACGGGGACCCGCACAAGCGGUGGAUGAUGUGGAUUAAUUCGAUGCAACGCGAAAAACCUUACCUACCCUUGACAUGUCAGGAACUUUCCAGAGAUGGAUUGGUGCUCGAAAGAGAACCUGAACACAGGUGCUGCAUGGCUGUCGUCAGCUCGUGUCGUGAGAUGUUGGGUUAAGUCCCGCAACGAGCGCAACCCUUGUCGUUAAUUGCCAUCAUUUAGUUGGGCACUUUAACGAGACUGCCGGUGACAAACCGGAGGAAGGUGGGGAUGACGUCAAGUCCUCAUGGCCCUUAUGGGUAGGGCUUCACACGUCAUACAAUGGUCGGUACAAAGGGUCGCCAAGCCGCGAGGUGGAGCUAAUCCCAGAAAGCCGAUCGUAGUCCGGAUUGCAGGCUGCAACUCGCCUGCAUGAAGUCGGAAUCGCUAGUAAUCGUGGAUCAGCAUGUCACGGUGAAUACGUUCCCGGGUCUUGUACACACCGCCCGUCACACCAUGGGAGCGGGUUCCGCCAAAGUAGGUAGCCUAACCGCAAGGAGGGCGCUUACCACGGCGGGGUUCGUGACUGGGGUGAAGUCGUAACAAGGUAGCCGUAGGGGAACCUGCGGCUG
rnacentral:rRNA from 1 species